AUUGAACACUGGCGGCAGGCCUAACACAUGCAAGUCGAACGAGUGGCGGACGGGUGAGUAAUGUCUGGGAAACUGCCUGAUGGAGGGGGAUAACUAAUGGAAACGGUAGCUAAUACCGCAUACCAUCGGAUGUGCCGCUAUGGGAUUAGCUAGUUGGUGGGGUAACGGCUCACCUAGGCGACGAUCCCUAGCUGGUCUGAGAGGAUGCCCAGCCACACUGGGACUGAGACACGGUCCAGACUCCUACGGGAGGCAGCAGUGGGGAAGAUUGAACAAUGGGGGCAAGCCUGAUGCAGCCAUGCCGAGUGUAUGAAGAAGGCCUUCGGGUUGUAAAGUACUUUCAGCGGGGAGGCGUUACCCGCAGAAUAAGCACCGGCUAACUCCGUGCCAGCAGCCGCGGUAAUUC
rnacentral:rRNA from 1 species